CAUAUUUUGCAAAGGGAAAGAAAAAAAAGGACAACAAUUAAAAGCAAAGAGAGGGUACAAGACAAGGCAAGGAAUAACCAUGUGAAAGUAGAGAAAAAGUACAAAAAUUAAAUGUGAUAGAGAAGCAGCAUGGCAAGGGGGAAAAUAAAAGAAGAAAAUUUGGCUUUUAAAAAGUCCAAGCUUAAGGGGGCUCAAGGGUGAGAAAAAAAACAAAGAAAGAAAGAGCUCCAAGUAAGAGAAAACCAGAGAAAACCAAAGCUGAAAGAAAAGAGAAUAGCAAGGAGCCACCACUAGAUAAGUCAAGAGAGCAAGGAGAAAACAGAGACGUUACAUGCGAAAGCCAAAGCUAAAAAGGAUCGAGAAACCUUUAGCUGAGAUGACGGUGAUUGAGGACGGUUCGCUUAGUGGGUGGAGAGUUGUAGAUAAUAUAGUAUGAGAGAUGGAGGAAGUUGGGAGACGACAGUUGGAAGAGAGAGAGCGCCCUAUCCCUCGUUCUUGAGGGAUCUUUUAAAGGGUAUCAUUGUUCCUUCUUGAGGUACCACAUGUUUUUUUUCUAUUGGCUUCAUAUUCCCUAAAA